UACUUUUCGACCCAUCUGUAGCUUAAGUUUCGCCUGGUGACAUUCUUGUAUUAUAUUGUUCCGAGAAGCGGCAAUCAUAGCUGUUGAACAACGGUGGCUUGUGCAAACGUACAUAAGCGUUCUGAUGGUUUAUUAUCCACGUAGAUCAGUUUCGGAUCGUUUUUUGUAAAACCACCUUUAUCAACAGUUGCUUUCAAUAUCUAUUAGUAUAUAAGGUUUAUGGAGCGGUGGUUUAUCGGACUCUGUGGGGCGAAGGUCAAACUAGGCACAUAGUAAUUAAGUGCAUAGUUAAGUAUCUGUCCUGAUUGUUUAUGUAGAUAUUUUACUAAUUUUUUUUAUUUCAGGGAAUGAUUGAAAAUAUACAGUUGGCGGGGGCGUCCAAUUUUGUGCGCCUGCUGGGAAGGGAAGGGGCAGAAGUGGAGUAUGUCCGCGACCCAAACACAGGAAAAAUAAAAAGGACCGUAGGAGCCUGUGUAGCUGGCUACAAUCUCCAACAAGUUUUGCACAAGGUAAAAAGGUUGGCGCACUGGCCGACUGCACAGGAAUGUUGCCCUUUUGUUGGGUGUGAAUGACAUUGUGAAAGGCGAAACAAUGAAAGCCAUGAAGCGGAAGCUCCGAAGCAUUCUCCGCUUCAUGGCUUUUCGCAGGAAGAAUGUUUUCCUUGUGACUGUACCCCCGUUCCGAAGGAUAGUGCAAAAGGAACAUACAAAUGAGUUGCUGGUGAAGUGGAAUGGCCAUCUUCGUAAAGUUGUGGACAUUGCACAGAGCCGUGGUCGUCGGCAGACUGUUUUUUUUGCUUGACUUUGCGAAGAUGGCCAGGAACUUUCCUGGCAACUAUUUUGAAAGGGACGGGCUGCAUCUUUCCGGGCGGGGGCUAAGAGUGUUGGGCAAUUGCCUGAAGAAAACUUCAAGGGCCCUCACACGGUGGGAGAAACAGGAGGACCCUCAACACUCGCAGUCUUGCGUCCGACACGCAGGGAAUGACCUGGGUGAGCUGGACAACCAGUUGCCUACCAGCGUGAUGGGCGUACCAGCUUCCCCAACGGAAACCUGGGCUACAGCUGAAGACAUGGAAUCGGAUGACACGCUGCCGGACGUUGAAGCAGAACUGCUGAGGCGGGGUGUCAUCUCAAAAACAUUUUUUUUAGUCAUGUCCGAGGACUAGUGGUGCACCGAUAUGACUUUACCGAUUACAGAUUCAAUUACCGAUUAUGAGUUGGGCUGUUUCCGUUACAGAUUCCGAUACUCUGAUAACACCACUGAUUCCGAUAGCACUGCCGAUACCAAAACAGAUACUCACAAUUUUUUUUUUUUUUUGUUUUCUUACAAAGAGUUAAAAUUUUAAGUAAAAUAAAUACAAUGAAAAACUAUUUGCGUAUUGUACCUAUGAACACACUAACCCCCAAGUCGAUAGUAUCUUGGUACAACACCCUGAAAACUGGUAUGUAUUAGGGUUCUGUGAAUAUUGGAAAUUUCCGAAUUUAGUUCGAAUUUUUUGAUAUUCGAUUUGUCAAUUCGAAUCUAAUUAAUUUUACAAUAAUUGGACUUGCAAAAUCUGGCCCGGAUACACUAAUAUAACACAUCCCCCCCACACCCACAUGUUUAAAAGAAAUGUAAAUGGACUAUUACAUCUUCCACUUACAAAACUAUACAACGAAACCCCUUAUUUACGUUACCGUUAUUUACGUUUACCCGUUAUUUGAACCAUUUUAUUUCUGUCCCAUGUUAACCUCAUUUCAUGUAAUGCAAUAAAUUCCCGUUGUUUACAACGCGUCUAUUGCUUUACGCAGUUUACGCCGUUCAUUGUGAUAAAACUGCUUACUAACUUAAUUAAUCCUAUUGCAAAGUAAUCUGAUAUGUAAAUCGUGUUUUAAAGACGUUUUUAACCAUUAUAAACUUCAUUUGUAACUUCUCGGGUGUAGCUUUAUACCGCUUAUAAAAACGUAUGCUGCGCCAGUUUGGUUGUGUUGAUUCCGGUAUUCCUGUAUAGAAUGCGCGCACGUUGUCAAAGAUUGAUAUCGAUAGCUCACAGACUGCAUGCACGCGCGCGCUCUGUCAGGAACCGUGUUAACCCGCACGAUCGUUAUGCGUAUACAGUACAACCCGGUUAUAACAUUCCCGUUUGUAACAUUUUCCCGCCUAUAACACCAUAAUUUCAUGGUCCCGUCAUUUCUCCAUUUAUCACAAUGCUUUAAUUUCCCGCCUGUAACAAUAUAUUAAAAUUUCUACAUUCCCGCCUUUAACGUUCAAAUUUGCUUUGUUAACUGCCACAAUUUGUAGUAUCCCUUCCUUCAAAGUCAUAAUUUAGAGCAAAACCAUAGCUAGAAAAUAUACAGCACGCAUAUACAAACAUCAGAUGUUUACAUUUGUGUAGUUCACCAUAGACGUGGUACACACGCACUCCACAACUUGCACCGUAUGGGAAGCCUACGAUUCACUGGUCCUUUCGUACACGCCCAAAAACGCCCGAUUACUCAUGUUCGUGCAACUUCGUUUUUUUUUUUUUUUUUUUUAACGUACACAAAGAAUGUAAACACGGGGGUGGUAUAUGGUCGUUGCUUGCAGAACAUAUUACCGGUUAUUGAGGUUAUAUUGUUUUGUAGCAUUUUCAUUUAAAAUACGUAUCAGAAAUUUAUAAGAAAUACCUAAUGAGCGGAGUCGUGUAUGGUUUGAGCAUAUGAUUUGUCGGUUUGAUAGUUCACAUUCCUAUUCGUUAAUUUUUUUCUUAAAUUUAUUGUAUUGAGCUUUAACACAUGGACUUUUUCUGUAUGGUGCAUCAGUUGUAUUUGCAUUUCUUGCGAGAAAUUUAUUUAUUUCAGUUUUAUUAUCUUCUUUAGGUUGUGAAGAUUAACAUAGGUUCAUGAGUUUACAGCCUACAGGAUCACUGGUGUAGUCACUAUUUCAUUGAUAUUUAAUACGUACCUUAUAGAAUCUCUGGUUAUCAAUGGGAAAAUCUUAUGAUUGUAUAUGUUUAUAUCAUGGACAUCUUUUCAAUGCAUUUAAAAGAAAGUGAAAGAUUUGAUGCUUUGAAAAAUUAGUGUUAACACAUUCAUUGUAUCAUAUUUGUAUUCAUGCCACAGUAUGUAAAUCAAUUUAUUUAUGAACUAUGAAGAUAUAUAUUUGUAUUUGUUUUUAUGUGGCAUAGGUUGGAAGAAAAAAAAUAUUUGAGAUACAUUCACCAUUUAUUUAGGCUACUCCAUGUUAACUAAAGUGACAAAAAGUUAGGAAAGGUACAUAGAUAGCUUUUGAAAAUAUUAUUGAGAAGGUCUGUUACAUACAGUAAUGAUCGAACUAGAGUUGGACACACUGUAAAGGAGGGGGAAAGUGGAAACUCAUGAAAUUGUUUAUGUUAAUUAAAGGGGAGGAGGGCUGGAGAAAGUUGGGAGCUAGGUUUAACAGAGGGAGGUAUAAAGGGAGGGGAGAUCAUGAGUGGAAGAUUCAGAGGAGUGGAGAUAACCGAGAGAGGAAAGCAGGUAUUUCUGGUGCGGAUGGGGCGAGAGUUGGAUGGGCUUGAAAGGGGGAUACUGGAUGUGAGAGGAGGAAAAGACUUACAGAGGAGGUUUUAGAAUUUUAGGAGAAUGAGUUGGAGAGAGAGAACUCCUUUCCACCAGGCGAAAGCUCAGUCGCAAGCGUAUGUUCAAUCAACCAAUUAAUCAAACACUUAAUGGCUGUAGCAGAUGAAUUAACAUAAUGGCAAGAGACUGCUGUCGAACUUUAAAAAUUGUUGAAUAUGCAUUUUGUUCAUAAAGGCUUCAAGCAGUUUAUCUUGUAUGUAGUAUAAUGGAAUAAAAAAAGUACAUACUAUUACAAUAUUUUCAUAAGGCACAUAGCUGCCGAUUCAGCAUAUGGGAAAUACACACACCUUAAUAUCUAAAUUUGUGCAACUUGUGAUUUUUUAGCCUGUAAGGUAAUUAAUAUUCAUGUUACAUUUACGCAACAUCCUGUGUAUAAAAAUUGUUCACGUACAAAAGUUUUAAAUUAAUCAUAUGAGUGUGAAGUAAACGUGUUCUAAUAUUAUACUGCUUCUAAAUAUAGGUUCCUGAAGGCCUGGAUGGUUUUGCCACUGUAUGUAUAAUCUAUUAACUUCCCAUAAUAAUAUGAUAUUGAAAUUCACUUCAAUCUAGGUUGCCAAAUUAAAAUGAGUUUUGCCUAUUAUGUUAACCGAAGAAUUAAAAAACUUUUAUGUUAUUUUAACAAGUACAAUUUGAUUCAUUAUAUUGAUUAUAUUUCUCUUAAGAUGUUGAAAGCAGUGUUUCUAGGCCCUACCAAUUACUUUUUCUGUCUUUAAUAUAUGAAAUAUAUGCUUACCAUGAAAUAUAAUAGGAAGUAAUAAAUAUUAGUGGAAUUCAUGUGGGUUUAAGAUUGGAGAUAAUAAUUUUUGCUAUUAAUAUCAAUUUAUUUUUUACUGAAAUAUUAUAUUUGUACAUGUUUUUGUAUACAUACACAUAUAAAAUUACAAACAUCACAAGAAAUAUUAUAUAUUGUCACUAUCAAUUGAAAUUAACAAGAACACCAUUUUCGUAAAAGUUAAGUUAUGAUUGUGGUGGUCAGAAGUUCCAAUGCAUGCACAGGUGGAGGUAGGCGUUGCUACGAUUACUGCCUCACGGCAGUUCACCGCGUGCACCAGACACAUGAAGUUGCCUGCACGCGAAGCCUACAACUUGCUUAGUUAUAAGAACUACUAAACUAAUGGUCGUGCACCAGGAAAUGUUCUAAUACUUGAGAUAAUGAAUAUUCAUGUGAUUUUAUGUUGAUUCCCAACCACUAUUGCACUAUCUACAGUAUAAAAUAAAUUUAAGAAGAAAACUACGUUGGCUGUAUAUUUUGCUAUGCUUAUUAAAACAUAAUCACACUCAUUUUCAAGUUCACAUUUCAAAGCCAAUUUCUCUUUUAAGUAUCCAUGACAGAAACACAUCUCAUGUAAUAUUAUAUUUCUUGUGAAUGUGCAAAUAAAGACAUAGUUGUCAUGUGAUCUCUAAGGUUCCUACAGAGGGCUCAAAACUACUUGCAUAUUGACUGGUUACCAAAGCACUAAAGUGGCAUUUGGUAAAAGAUGUAACUUAAAAUCUGUAUUAGGUACAUAACUUACAGCAUGCUUCUUCCUCUGCGAGUCCGCUGCGGUAAAUUCCUGGUAGACUCUCACAGUCCUCACAGCCAUGACACCUGGACAACCCAGUUUUUUGGUACUUUUUAUCAAGAAUUUUUUCUUUUUUGGUUGUGGAUGGUCAGGCUUGAAAAAAAAAAUUUAAUUAGGCAAAUAUUCAACUUCAAAUUUACUAAAUUUAGCUUCAUACAUUAAAAAAAAUCAUAUCUUGAGACUGGUGAUAGGUAGUAGGUACAUGAAGAUCCCAUGAUAGUCAUGAUGGUAAUGUUAACAGGAUACAAUUGUUAAAAAUACUGUUUAAUAUUUUUUCACCAUGGUUGUUUUGGAUGGAUAAAAACAAGUACAGUAUGAAAUGUAUGUGAUUUUUUUUUAUAUUUCUAGAUUGAGUUAAAGAAAAUUGCAUAACCCUGUUUGUCAUGGAAAAUGUUUCCAACUGUGACAUUCCUGUAGUAAAUACAAUGUAAAACAAUGAUUUAUAACAUUAAUAAUUAAGUACCUAGCUAAUUAAAUAUUAUUAUUAAUAUUGCUUUAUGAUGUCAACUUAUUGCAUAUAAGUUUAAGUGACUUAAAUAGUUACUUGGUUCCAACAAUGUAAUAAUUAAAUUGAUAAAUAAUAGUUACAUAUAUAAAAAGAUUUAAGUGUCUGUUAUAACUUCCUUGAUUUACAAAUUUUGGGAAAAGAACUGUUGCUAAUAAGCAGAAUACAGAAAACAAUACGAUACUAGGUAUCCUUGGACCUAAGGCUUUCUUAUUAAUAACUGCAAGAUAUGAAAAGAACUCACAUUCACUGGGAUGUAUUAUGAAUAUUAUAGAGUUUAUUUACAAAUCAUCAAUGAACACACAGUUUUACAACUUACCAGUUGAUCUGUAGUCUGUUUGGCAUUAUAAUAUUUUGGACCUUGAG